rnacentral:lncRNA from 1 species
GAGGGAUAACAACACACACAUUCCCCUACAAUUCUACAAACACACAUCUCUCUCCUCUCUCUCUCUGCCGCCGACCAUAGUCCCUCUGUCAGAUAAAAUAGACCACAACACUUUUCCUAUAUUACGAUCACCUUUCUUAAUUAAGCAAAUUGCAUUGUGAUUACAAAAAACUUUGUAAAAUUAAAUUGUAUGUAUCAAGUUGGGCCAUUAUCGAAUAAAUAUUUCCCAACAUAGGAUGUCAAAUGCUCAAUGACUCGUAGGUUUUGUCAACAAGUUUUCAUCAACGCACAAAAAAAGUUGUCCACAAGUGACCUAAAAUCGAAUUUAAUUACACUGUAUAGCUGCGGUUUUUGCAUAAGGGAAAUGGAUUUCUUCACACGUCUUUCUCUUUUUACAUACUCCUAUUUGACUAUGUUUUUUUAAUUCUUCUUUGAUUUUUUUCAAUCUAAAGGUCAUAAUAAACAUGAGUGCGUAGGGGAAAAAACUGGUGCGUGAAAAUCACAAUCCUUGCACAACACCCACUUAGUGAUAUUAUGAAUGGCAUAAGAUACUAAUAUAGGUGGUUGGGUUUGCUAGCCCUCGUUUAAUAAUAAUUCAGUUUUGUUUUUAUUUUCAAUUGUUUUUCCCAGAGAUAAAUGGAUGUGUAUGUACAGAUUCUUUAAGGGAGGGAUCCCCAUUUUUUGAAAAAUAAGUGGGGUUAGUUGUGGGCUCACACCACAUCAAACUUCAACGAUUUGAACUGUCUAUUUUUCAAAUUGCACCUCAUAGAUCAUCCUUACAAAAUAUUAGUCAAAUCCGAAAUAUUUGAGGUAUCAAAUUGAGUUCAAAGAAAUUGACGAACACUAUAUUCUAGAAAAAACAUUGAACUUUUAUCAUGACAAUUAAAUGACAUAUGAUCUCGGAUUGAAUUGAAUUUUUGCAUAAAUGAUCUAUGAAUCGAGACUUACAAAAUAGACGAUUCGGAUCGUUGAAAUUUAAUGUUGAACAAGUCCCACAGCUAAUCCUUAUUAAUUUUUUUUAAAGAAUCAAUCAUUUCCCUUAAAGGACCUGCGGGGAUGUAUAUGGAAAAUAAGGGUUGAAGCAUGGUGAAUGAAGAGUAAAGGGAAGGAGGAGAAGAAGUGAAAGAGAAAGUAAGAAACAAAAAUUAGAACGAAAGAAAAAGUGGUUUGUCAGUUUUAUGAUGUUUGUAGACCAUUUUAUGUUCAUUUCAAUGACUUCCCUUCCCAUUCAUGUUCAUUCUUUCAUCUAUAUUUUCUCUAUUUUUGCUCCAUUGUCUUUCUUCUUUCUGUUUCGAACAAAAAAUUAAAGUUGAAAGCGAAAUUAUUACCAAACAAAAUGAUUAAAAGGAAAACCAUCUAAUAAAAUAGAUAGUUUGUUCAAUUUCUAAUUGUUUCAACUACCAUAUUAAUGUCGAAUUAUCAAAUAGACGGGCCAAAAGCUCACUUUUAAUAACACAGAUAUUAUCCUCAACUUGGUAAUUACCACAUCAUAUGACAUGCCCCGAUCCUGAUGUCUGAGGGACAUCAGGAUGGCCACGUGCUGCUCGACACCUGAGGGUGACGAAAGCCAUUUAAUGAGUGCAGUUGUCGAGAACAUGUGAAACCUGCAUAAACAUUUCACUCGAACUAACCAAAAUAAUAUAAUAUUCAACUGCCAACAAUGAAAACAUAGUGAUAAUGCAUGACAUGUUCAGAGCAUACAUCUAAUUCAGAAUACAAGCGGAAUGUGUUAUUAAAAGUAAUGUCAAGGCAGAGAGGAAGGUACGCAAUCACUGGUAGGGGAAUGCCUUGUAGCUCGGAUCGUAUGCCUCGUUCCUAUGUCCUGAGGGGGCGUAAAACAAACAUGAGUGGACCAAGUUGAUAUAUAUAUAUAAUACUAAAGUAGUUAUUCAUCAACAUACUAACCUCCAAAGUUUUAUGAAAACUCAUAUAGCAUAACAUGUAGUAGGUUUUCCAAAAACCCUAAUAUGCCAUAAAACUUCAUAAAACAUAUAUCAUAUAUAAUGUGCUAACUAGUGGUAUCAUAAUCGACCCGUAGGCCAAAUAUAUGAAUAUCUUCUGACCCGUAGGCCCCUACAUCACCCGACCCGUAGGCCAAUAUAAAUAUCUUCCAACCUAUAGGCCCCUACAUCAUCCGACCGGUAGGCCAAUAAGUAUCAUCGCUCGUAGACAGAACAGUGACCGCUAGAUAAGCACAAAACAUUGAAUAUAAUCUUUCCAACAUACGUACAUAUAUCUCAAAACAUCUUUAGAGUAUAUAGUCAUCCAUCAUAUAUACUACAAAGAGUGUAAAAACAUGUUCAUAAAUGGUAUAUAGUUAUCCAUCAUAUAUACUACAAGGAACAUAAAUUCAAUAAAGUAUGGUAUUCCAAAAUAUUCUCAGUAAAACAUGAUAAUCAUAAAUUGUAAAUCUAAUUUACUCAUAAAACGUAACCAUUAAAUCAUAUUUUUCAUGUAUGCAUUUCCACUAUUAAAACAUGCAUUUUAGAAAGGGUCCACUCACAAAUACUUCGUUGUUGAUUAACCGUGCGAAAUAGGAUGGAAGAAAUCGUCUCUAAUAGUCGCACCUAAGCACAUAAAGAGUCCAAAUAAUAAAACUAUAUCAUAACGAUUGAAUUUCGAGAAACGGAUGUCAUAAACGAAGUCUAGGACGUCGAAAAACAUAAAAGGGGGACCUCGGGUACCCCUAAUAGUCGCACCUAAGCACAUAAAGAGUCCAAUUAAUAAAACUCUAUCAUAACGAUUGAAUUUCGGGAAACGGACGUCAUAAACGAAGUCUAAGACGUUGAAAAACAUAAAAGGGGGACUCGGGUACCUCUACGCGUCGCCACACACGCCCUCAUGCGCCGCCGCAAGGUGGUGGCUUCAGCGGCUAUGCGCUGCCACGUGCUGCUGUAGGUCGUUGGAAAAUUCACUAGUGCCACCAUGGACAGCGGCUCGUGUGCUCUACGCGCCUGUACCAGCAAGCCUUCAUGCUCGCCCACGGGCAGCCUGGGUUCCUAAAAUUCGUCUGGGUUGGGCUGGAUCCGGGUCUGGGCUUGGGUUUGGUUCCUGGGCUUAGGCUUAGGGUAUUGGGCUGGUAACUCGGCCCAAAGGGAAAUAGGUUCUGGGUUCAACGGGCUGAAGGCCCUGGGUUGGUACAACCAGGCUUGGGCUUGAAAGCCUGGCUCAAGGGUUUUUGGGUUAGGUUUAUAAAUGACUGGGUUUGGGUUUAGGGUUUAGGUUUUAGUGGGUUAGGCUUAGGGUUAAACGGGCCGAGGGCUUUAGUUGGCACGGCCCGAAGGGCCUAGGUCUAUUUGGGUUUGGGUCGUUGACCCGUUUUUCAUCGGGAAAGAAGGCCGGAGCCUUCCAAGCUCCGGUCAACUCUGUCUCACCAUUUUACCCUCCGAUCUACCUAUGAAAUUGAACAUAGAGAUAAGGGGAAAAGUUUUGUACCUGCGAUACACUAUGAAAUGGCUGGAGUCAACCAGAUUCUGGGCUAGAACACCACAAACUCGCCAGACCUGGGUUCUCAGUUUCUAUGUGCUUCAUAGAGAUGAGGGAGAGGGAGAAAAGAUCCACCAUGGUGGUGGUGGUGUUGUCGUGUUUCCUCGGGUGUGGUUGUUUGGGUGUGUGGGUGGGUGUGUCGAUGGGAAUGAGAGAAGAGUGAGAGAGGGAAAGGUCUGUGAAACUGAGUGAGCUGAGAGAGAGUUCGGGGGAAGGAGAAAGAAAAGGAAGGAAAUGGGUGGGGGUCUGCCACAUGGCAAGUAGAAAGAGGAGGAAAC